rnacentral:rRNA from 1 species
UACGUAGGGUGCAAGCGUUAUCCGGAAUUAUUGGGCGUAAAGGGCUCGUAGGCGGUUUGUCGCGUCGGGAGUGAAAUCAUCUGGCUUAACUGGGUGCUUGCUUUCGAUACGGGCAGACUAGAGGUAUGCAGGGGAGAACGGAAUUCCUGGUGUAGCGGUGAAAUGCGCAGAUAUCAGGAGGAACACCGGUGGCGAAGGCGGUUCUCUGGGCAUGAUCUGACGCUGAGGAGCGAAAGUGUGGGGAGCGAACAGG